rnacentral:rRNA from 1 species
GAUCCUGGCUCAGGAUGAACGCUGGCGGCGUGCCUAACACAUGCAAGUCGAGCGAAGCACUUUGCUUAGAUUCUUCGGAUGAAGAGGAUUGUGACUGAGCGGCGGACGGGUGAGUAACGCGUGGGUAACCUGCCUCAUACAGGGGGAUAACAGUUAGAAAUGACUGCUAAUACCGCAUAAGACCACGGCACCGCAUGGUGCGGGGGUAAAAACUCCGGUGGUAUGAGAUGGACCCGCGU